rnacentral:rRNA from 1 species
UACAGAGGGGCAAGCGUUGUUCGGAAUUACUGGGCGUAAAGGGCGCGUAGGCGGCCUGUUAAGUCGAACGUGAAAUCCCCGGGCUCAACCCGGGAACUGCGUCCGAUACUGGCAGGCUUGAAUCCGGGAGAGGGAUGCGGAAUUCCAGGUGUAGCGGUGAAAUGCGUAGAUAUCUGGAGGAACACCGGUGGCGAAGGCGGCAUCCUGGACCGGCAUUGACGCUGAGGCGCGAAAGCCAGGGGAGCAAACGGG